AAGAAAUAAAAGCUAAUGAUGAAAAAGCCAAGGAAACUGAAGCCAAAGAAAAAGAUGCCACAAAAGUAGCAUUAAAAACCAUAAGCAGCAACAUCAACAAAGAAAGUGUGAAAAUACUGGAAAAGGAUAGCACCGAUGCUAAAAGUAGCGAAAAAAAAAUAGAAGCGACUAGUGAGAAGAGCAAGCCCAUUGUUAAGGAAGUUGUAAAAAAUGAAAACAACAAUAACAAUAAUGAAAAUAAUAACAAUAAACAAUCAGUUAAAAACAUAACCAAAAUGUUUAAUUUAAGUUUACAAGCAGAUAAAAAAAAUGUACCUAUGAAUAAAUUAAAGUUGGAAAAAAAUGUAGGUAACAAAGCAAAUAAAGAAGGAAAUCUAAAAUUAGAAACAAAAAAAUCACCAGAAAAUAUAAAUGAGUCAAAUAAAACAGAUGAAGUAUUAAAUAAAAAAGUAUCGGUUGAAAUAAGUGCAGUAAAAAAUGAGAAAGUUAUACCAACUGAAAAAAAGGAAGUAGUUAAAAAGGAACAAGGGGAGUCGAAUAUUCUGCGACCUAAAUUUAUUCAACCUAAAGAAAAAGACAAACCAAUUAAUAAAAUAAUACCAGACUCAGUUAUCAAAAAAGAAGUAGUAAAAAUUGACAUAAAAAAUGUUUUAAAUAAAAAACCAUUACUACCGAUAAAAACGCCUCUAACGAAUAAAAAUGUGGAAACUCAGGUGCUGCAAAAAAAUUUGGGAAGCAUAAAAAGUGGUAAGAGUGUAGCAAGUAAAGAGGUCGCAAGUAAAGAGUUCGCAAGUAAAGAGUUCGCAAGUAAAGAGGUCGCAAGUAAAGAUGGCGCAAGUAAAGAGGUCGCAAGUAAAGAUGGCGCAAGUAAAGAGGUCGCAAGUAAAAAUGUCGCAAGUAAAAAUGUAGCAAGUAAAGAGGUCGCAAGUAAAAAUGUAGCAAGUAAAGAGGUCGCAAGUAAAGAGGUCGCAAGUAAAAAUGUGGCNNNNNNNNNNAAAAUGUGGCAAGUAAAAAUGUGGCAAGUAAAGAGGUCGCAAGUAAAAAUAUCAUAACAAAAAAUGUCAUAACAAAAAAUGUCAUAACAAAAGAUGU
rnacentral:lncRNA from 1 species